CUGGCUUAUAAAGUUCUCUUACUCAAGUCAGGCCUUGUAGGAUGCCUUUGCUGUCUCCACUCCACAUACCUACCCGGAUCCUGAAAAAUCAUUUUAGCCACUUGGAGACAAUGCUGCCAGACCUGCUUAGCUUUUCCAGCAACUUUGCUAAUAUAGGUCAAAUUACCAUGUAUGUGGAAAAAGAAAAGAUCGUUAGAAGUGGCGAGAGAGAGAAUAUCUUAUUUUGAGGUACAUACAUGAUGCAUGAAGAACUACAUCCUUUGCGAAGGCAAGCUCCAGCAGGAGAUGUGUGACAGUCUCUAUCCCAUCCUUCAGGCCCCUACAUCCCAGCC